rnacentral:rRNA from 1 species
AACGAACGCUGGCGGCGUGCCUAACACAUGCAAGUCGAACGAGAUCUUCGGGUCUAGUGGCGCACGGGUGCGUAACGCGUGGGAAUCUGCCCUUUGGUUCGGAAUAACAGUUGGAAACGACUGCUAAUACCGGAUGAUGACGAAAGUCCAAAGAUUUAUCGCCAGAGGAUGAGCCCGCGUAGGAUUAGCUAGUUGGUGUGGUAAAGGCGCACCAAGGCGACGAUCCUUAGCUGGUCUGAGAGUAUGAUCAGCCACGCUGGAACUGAGAAACGGCCCAGACUCCUACGGGAGGCAGCAGUGGGGAAUAUUGGACAAUGGGCGAAAGCCUGAUCCAGCAAUGCCGCGUGAGUGAUGAAGGCCUUAGGGUUGUAAAGCUCUUUUACCCGGGAUGAUAAUGACAGUACCGGGAGAAUAAGCUCCGGCUAACUCCGUGCCAGCCGCCGCCGUAA